rnacentral:rRNA from 1 species
GUGUCAGCAGCCGCGGUAAUACAGAGGUCCCGAGCGUUGUUCGGAUUCACUGGGCGUAAAGGGUGCGUAGGUGGUGAGGUAAGUCGGAUGUGAAAGCUCGGAGCUCAACUCCGAAAUGGCAUUGGAAACUACCUUGCUUGAGGGUUGGAGGGGGGACUGGAAUUCUCGGUGUAGCAGUGAAAUGCGUAGAGAUCGAGAGGAACACCAGUGGCGAAGGCGAGUCCCUGGACAACACCUGACGCUGAGGCACGAAAGCUAGGGGAGCAAACAGGAUUAGAUACCCUGGUAGUCCUAGCCGUAAACGGUGCGCGCUUGCUGUAGGCGGAAUCGACCCCGUCUGUGGCGAAGCCAACGCGAUAAGCGCGCCGCCUGGGAAGUACGGUCGCAAGAUUAAA